AGUGAACGCUGGCGGUAUGCCUAACACAUGCAAGUCGAACGACAGCACAGUAAGAGCUUGCUCUUACGGGUGGCGAGUGGCGGACGGGUGAGGAAUACAUCGGAAUCUACUUUUUCUUGGGGGAUAACGUAGGGAAACUGACGCUAAUACCGCAUAUGAUCUACGGGUUAAUGCAGGGGAGCUGCGCAUAUUUCCCGUUGUAAUUAGACGAUGUCGGAUUAGCUAGUUGGCGGGGUAAAGGCCCACCAAGGCGACGAUCCGUAGCUGGUCUGAGAGGAUGAUCAGCCACACUGGAACUGAGACACGGUCCAGACUCCUACGGGAGGCAGCAGUGGGGAAUAUUGGACAAUGGGCGCAAGCCUGAUCCAGCCAUACCGCGUGGGUGAAGAAGGCCUUCGGGUUGUAAAGCCCUUUUGUUGGGAAAGAAAAGCAGCAGGUUAAUACCCCGCUGUUCUGACGGUACCCAAAGAAUAAGCACCGGCUAACUUCGUG
rnacentral:rRNA from 1 species